rnacentral:rRNA from 1 species
AUGGAGACGAGGCCAGCGCAGCUGGCGGCAAGGUCGAUGGACAUGAAGAGGGCGGUGCGCAAGCGGAUGAGGCAGCAGCAGCCGGGCCUUCCAACAUGGAGACGAUGCCGGAGGAGCUCGCGCGGCGCUAACGGACGGGAGGAGGAGGGGGCCGUGGAGCAGAGGAGGCAGCAGUCGCGCCUUCCCCUAUGGGAACGAGGCCGGAGGAGCUCUUGGCGAGGCUGGCCGACGGGAAGGUUCGGAGGAGGCAUCGGCGCGCGAGUGCGAGGCGUACAAGAUGAACAAGCUUACCCGACAUCGUGA